UACGAAGGGGGCUAGCGUUGUUCGGAAUUACUGGGCGUAAAGGGCGCGUAGGCGGCACUGUUAGUCAGGCGUGAAAGUCCUGGGCUCAACCUGGGAACUGCGCUUGAUACGGCAGAGCUAGAGGAUGGAAGAGGGUCGCGGAAUUCCCAGUGUAGAGGUGAAAUUCGUAGAUAUUGGGAAGAACACCGGUGGCGAAGGCGGCGACCUGGUCCAUUACUGACGCUGAGGCGCGACAGCGUGGGGAUCAAACAGG
rnacentral:rRNA from 1 species